GACAGAGGUUGCAAACGUUGUUCGGAAUCACUGGGCAUAAAGCGCACGUAGGCGGUCUGUUAAGUCAGGUGUGAAAGCCCCCGGCUCAACCGGGGAACAGCAUUUGAUACUGGCAGACUCGAGGAUGGUAGGGGUGAGUGGAAUUCCUGGUGUAGCGGUGAAAUGCGCAGAUAUCAGGAAGAACACCCGUGGCGAAGGCGGCUCUCUGGGACGGUACUGACGCUGAGACGCGAAAGCGUGGGGAGCGAACAGG
rnacentral:rRNA from 1 species